AGAUGUAGCAUGAUAACAAGAUGCUAAGACCCAUGAGAAAAGGGAAUUGUAGGGGAAUUUCUUUGUUUAACUACCUUUUUUCCUGUGAAAGACAGCCACACUCCAGAUUGACUCACUCAGAUGGUAGAUACCACUCAAAACUCUUUUUUCUUUUCUUUUUUCUUCUUCUUCUUUUUUUUUUUAACCAUGACUUCCUUUUAUCUGACUAGAUUGUAUGGGAUUAUAGCUGACUUUUAAAACACUAUCACCUCAACAACAUCCUCCUGUGCCCUUCAGUGUCCUGUGUCACUAUUUGGCAUGUACCCUUUGAAACUGUAUAAUUCACAUGUUUCAUUAUCACUGUCAUUAUCACAGUUCACUUGUGCCACUUGAUGCAGAACUUGAGAAUUGUUAGUCAGGGUUCUCUAGAGAAAUAUACCUACAUGAAGGAGAUUUAUUAUAAGGAAUUGACUCACAUGAUUAUGGGGGCUGAGAAGUUUCAGGACCUGGCAUCUGCAAAGAGGAGACACAAGAAAGCUGGUGUUGUCAUUCAGUCCAAGACCAAAGGCUGGAGAACUGGGGUAGGUGGUGUUGUAAAUUCUAAUUCCAAGGACAGGAGAGGACCUAUAUAUCCCAGCUCAAGCAGGCAGGCAGGAAGGAAAAGGGAUGAAUUCCUCUUUCCUUUCAGGCCUUCAACAAAUCAGAUGAUGCCCAACAAUGCUGGGGAAGACAAUCCAGAGUCCACAGAUUCAAAUGCCAUUGUCAUCCGAAACAACCACCUCACAGACCUAGAAAUGUUUAAUCUGGGCAUCUUGUGGCCUGUCAAGUUGACACACAAAAGUAACCUUCACAAUUAUUUUCCUGCUUCAUUUUUAUUAUGCUAAGAUAAUUGAGACUAUAUGUUAAAUAAUACUAGAUCACAUUAUCCAACAAAUUACACUGCCCAUGGUUUCAUCUUUCUAACAUCUUCAGCAAAAGUGUCAUUUUGGCUAUAUUGAAUCCAAAUAUUCUGAAGGUCAGCCUCAUUGUGCUGCCAUUCCAUGAUAGCACAUGACUGACUGCUGAGGGUAAUGUAAGAUGUACAUAGGCCUUCCCUCUCGUAAGAUCUAAUAGGACACACACUGGGCAGAUUCACUUACCUUAGCAGGUAGACAAAGAACAGUAGAAAGUAUGUCCCUAGGUCUGCCUCAGACUAGCCUUCAGUGUGGAGCCCUCUUUGUGGAAAAGGGGUAAGUUUUUUCCCUCCUCAUGACAGCUCAUUUGGAGGGAAAAAGGCAAGGUGUGUGUGUGUGAAAUUAUAGUGCUCCAGUAAGCCUACUACUCGAAAGGACUGAUUAUCUUGAGCAGACAUGAGAGCAGCUUGUAGGAGUGGAACAGACAGGAAUGAGUGCAACCACUGGCUCACAUGACCCAGACACAAAGCCAUGUCACUUCCUUGGGGUCCUAGGCACAGGCCUCCCAGUGGUCCACAAACUUUCUCCUCUUUUCCUGCCCAUCCCAGAGAAUUUAACUUUCAUUUUCACUCAGCACCUCUGGAUCUGGUGGAGAUCAGCCCCAUGUUGGUGAGAGAAUCCUGACCAUGUCUGCCCCUAGCCCUAGCCUGCCUCCACUCUUCUCCAAGGAGGCACAACUUCUCACCUGGUGUCUGAGGUGUGUGGUAUAGUUUGCAGAGGGCAGAGGUGGGGAGAAGUACUGAAUUUUGGAUGUGAGUUUAACAUGUGGUCAGGAAGCUGCUGUGAAGGGGGGCCAAGCCCAACUUGCAAGCUUCCUGCUGAAAGUGUGGGGGCGGGGGAGGGAGGCAGUGCCUGUAGGUCAAAGGGAGGUUUGAAGGCUUGAAACACUGUUCUUUUAUGGAAGGACCAUUAUUUCUCCAGGUUCAAUCCACCCUGGAGAUUUCCUUUACAUUCUAUAAUUUUGAAUUGCGCCUUGCUGAGAACAAGCCAAAAUCCUUUAUUUUUCAGAGGUAGAAAGUUACUUCUUUCCACAGAAAGAGCAAAGGCAGAGAUAUCUUUAAAUCCUAACAUUUUAAUGCCCAUCCUGUAACACUGUAGCAUUUCUGCAUGAUUCUAGAUAAAUUCUCAUCAUCUUGGCCUGUUUGUGCUUAGGAGCUUGAUGGGCUGACAACUGGCAGGCCCUGCAGCCUCCUUCUAUUCACUCAGGCCAGAAGUUCCUUGAGAAUCACUAACCUUACUCAUCCCUCUCCCAGGGCCAUAACUACCACCCAGGAACAGGUCACCUGAGAGAUCAGGAGCAAGGAGGACACUUUCCAGAUGUGGUAUCUUUUCUAGCUGUUAAUAAACAACAUCAGUUACUUAAUUGGUGUUAAUGAUGUAAAAAGAUGACAGAAGAAGUACUAAGUUAACAAAAUCCUGAGACCUGAAGGGAAGGAAAUUUAGAGCAGAGGGGCCUCUGUUUACUUCUCCCCUUUCUAUGGAAGGUACAGCUGCACCAUCCUUACUCAGGUGGUCUGGAAGACAAAGGUCAGAUCUCUUUUCUCACCCUGACUUCCCUUCCUCUGUUGAAAUCUCACUUUAUCAAAGCUGACUUUGGAGAUUUUACCUCUGCUACAUAUUCUUUGCAUCCCUCUCAGCCAUCCAUCACUGUUUGGCACCUGUCUUCUGAACUCACAGUAUACCUUUGUCAUACCAAUUAUCAUAGAGUUUUAGAUUUGAUUUGUUAUUUUUGUGCUCCAGUUUUCACUUUGCUAGUAUUAUAAGGAAUUUGUAUUAAAUAGUAUCACAUGAUUACCUGGCAAAUGAAACAACACAAUUUCCUUUUCCCGUUUUCUUUUUUUUUUUUCUUUUCCCAUUUUCUUUAAGAAAAGUGACUCUUUCCCAUAUAGCAUCAGUAAUUUGUGGCUUCAUCAUGCUUAGAGAAACAGUUUUUCAGUCAUAAAAGAAGAAAGUUUUGUGUGUAUCCUCAUUGUCUGGAAUUUUGCCUUGUUUUGGUCUUUUUGUGUCUUUUUUUAUUGUCUUUAUCUGUCACCUCUGGGAUAUGCUGAGUUUGUAUUCUUACAAUCUCAGAUGUUGGGAAAAGACCCAAGAAUCGGACGGAGUCAUCUGACAUCUAUGGCAGCCAGCUGACCUGGGAGUUGUAUCAGACAGAUAGCAUUCAUAUUCCCAUAUCUAUCUCCCUGAUUGCUGUGGAGACCUUGGUCAGAGCUUAGGCAGCAGUGUGGUCAUCCUCCAUGUGUGGGGACUCCAGCUCCUCUUUGCCGAUUCCUCCUCCUGUGCCUAUUGUGACGGCAGAUGCUUUGAUAUUGGCUCCUUAUAGCCCCACUGUGAAAAUAAAUCCCAUAACCCCAUAGCUGAAUGCAUGCCCUGCUGCUCCUUCCUGUAGAAGUUUCUUGAUGCUUCUCUGCAUUGGUUGGAUCUUGAGUGAAAUGAGAAAUAAUUGGAGUCCUCAUCCCAUGUCUGUAUCAUAGUUUGAGUCAUAAACAGGGAUAGAUAUUAUCAUAUAAUAGGUAGAGAUUAUAUACUAUCUAUCCCUGAUAUAAUGUCUACUUCUGAGCCUGCUGUUCAUCAGAGCCUUGUGUGACCCACAGUCUCUGCAGCUGCGAGCUUACUUCAUAUGGUCUUUGAACUAUUUUCAGUACCUGUACCAUUAGCUGGAUUACAUUUGCAAUGCAUGUCAGCCUCAUUCUUGUCAGGUUCCCUUUAUUCAGGAUGAAUAUGGCCUAAGUGGACCAUUUUGGUAGAUUUAAAUUUAUCUCCAUGCUGCCUCGAUAGCUUUUCCCUCCUUAUGUGGAGCAAAGGCAGCCUUACUGGUUGUCUCAUACUGGAGAUCUUUCUUUGAUCAUCAAACUCUGGCAACCUUAAUAUAUACUGAGAUCUUCCCUUUAUGGUUUUUGUUUUUGCUUUCACAUGCCCUCAUGUGCCUGGAGCUCCUAACAGAAGCUGUGAAUAUAGACUCUGGCCACAGGACCAUACUGAGUUCAGAGGGGGUGGUGAUCUGCUCCAUCUGCCUGGUCCUCCUGAGAUAACCACCGAGCCUGGAAUGUGGCCACAGCUUCUGUAAAGCCUGCUUUACUGCAGACAACAAGGAGUCCAUGCCAAGCCAAGGAGGGAAGAACAGAAAUUUCCCUGUAUGCUGCAUCAGUUACUGUGCUGCGGACCUGCGGCCUAACUGGCAUGUGGUCGACAUAGUAGAGUGGCUCAGAGAGCCCAAGGUGAGCCAUGAGGAGGGCCAGAAGAGAAAUCUCUGUGAGCACCACAAAGAGAAACUCUUGUUCUUCUGUAAGGAGGAUGGGAAAGUCAUUUGCUGGCUUUGUGAGUGGUCUCAGGAGCACCAUGGUCUCCACAUGGUCCCAAUGGAGAAAGUUGCCCAGGAGUACCAGGUAAGAGACCAGGAUGGAGCGAAUAUAGGGCAGAAAAUGGUAUUUGAGGAGAUAUCUCCACUUUGCAUCCAACUUUAAUUACCUUGUCAUCAUAGACUCGAGGCCUGUGAUAUCUUUUCCUUCUAUCCUCGCCUUCCAAGGCCUGAAGAACAUUUUUCUUGGCCUGAAGAAACUUUUUGCACAUUCCAUUAAAUUACAAAAGGAUAAAGAUUUAGCCAAAAGUAGAUAGUUUUGUACCUUAUGCUAGACCGGUGAAGACUUAGUGUCCAAGUAACGCCCUCAUUACCCUGUUGAACAGGAGGGUAUAUUGAGAUGUAAGUUCCUUCUUUGCUGCAGGAUUUGGUUUGUUCUAAUAGUACAAAGAGAAUCAGUUCUCUUUUAAUGAGGGGAUGAUGACAUCUAUUGCCCAAGUCUUAACACAUUCACCAUGUUAAGUUUUCCUCCAAGUCGUGGAUUCUAACUGCUGUUCUCACUGAUUCUGUAAACUUUAGUCUCUUUGGAGAUUGGCCUGAUAUCUUCCCCAUUUAUUCUCUGUGCUGUUGCUGAAAAAUCUCACAGCUUGACUCUGGUGUAACUCUUCUCUCAUAAGAGAAACUCCAAGCGGCUCUGCAGAAACUGAGGAAGAAGUAGCAGGAAGCUGAGAUGUUGGAAGCUGUCAUCAGAGAAGAGAAUACUUUCUGCAAGCGGAUGAAACAGAAUCCUGCCAAAAGUUAUUUCCAUUUCUUUUUGCAGAGGUGAUCUCGGCUAAUGGUAAGUUAUAUUUGCUUUUCUGUCUGUUUAUCUUUGGUUGUUCACACAAGUGUAUACCAUGAACAAGCUGGCCGUGGCGAAUGGCAAUUUUCUCCGAUUUUCCCAUCUUUGAUCUUAAAACCUCUCUUCUGAACGAGGGUUGGCCGGGCGCCGGGGCGGCAGCGGGCCAGGGAACGGGCUCGCUUCCUCAGGUUGGGCUGCCCCGCGGGCACUGGGUGUUAUUCUGUAUGUUGGUAAAUUGAACACCAAUAAAAAAUUAAUUUAUUAAAAAAAAAACAUAAAAAAAAAAAAAAAGAAAAGGAGGAAGAGAAGCCAGCGAUUGCGGGGCGGGGCGGCGGCUGAGAGCCCGAGUGCAGCGUGGACCAUGGUUCGGGCGGUGGCGGCGCAGCAACCUAAACAAAUAUUUCUAAUAUAAAGUGUUAAGUUUUCCUAUUUCUGUGUGUUUUCUUUCUUUCUUUCUUUCUUUCUUUCUUUCUUUCUUUCUUUCUUUCUUUCUUUCUUUCUUUCUUUCUUU